GAUGAACGCUGGCGGCGUGCCUAAUACAUGCAAGUCGAGCGAACGGACGAGAAGCUUGCUUCUCUGAUGUUAGCGGCGGACGGGUGAGUAACACGUGGAUAACCUACCUAUAAGACUGGGAUAACUUCGGGAAACCGGAGCUAAUACCGGAUGAUAUUUUGAACCGCAUGGUUCAAAAGUGAAAGACGGUCUUGCUGUCACUUAUAGAUGGAUCAGCGCUGCAUUAGCUAGUUGGUAAGGUAACGGCUUACCAAGGCAACGAUGCAUAGCCGACCUGAGAGGGUGAUCGGCCACACUGGAACUGAGACACGGUCCAGACUCCUACGGGAGGCAGCAGUAGGGAAUCUUCCGCAAUGGGCGAAAGCCUGACGGAGCAACGCCGCGUGAGUGAUGAAGGUCUUCGGAUCGUAAAACUCUGUUAUUAGGGAAGAACAAAUGUGUAAGUAACUGUGCACAUCUUGACGGUACCUAAUCAGAAAGCCACGGCUAACUACGUG
rnacentral:rRNA from 1 species